rnacentral:rRNA from 1 species
GACGAACGCUGGCGGCGUGCUUAACACAUGCAAGUCGAACGGAAAGGCCCCCUUGUGGGGUACUCGAGUGGCGAACGGGUGAGUAACACGUGAGUAACCUACCCUUGCCUUUGGGAUAACUUCAGGAAACUGGGGCUAAUACCGGAUAGGAGCUCCUGCUGCAUGGUGGGGGUUGGAAAGUUUCGGCGGUUGGGGGUGGACUCGCGGCUUAUCAGCUUGUUGGUGGGGUAGUGGCUCACCAAGGCUUUGACGGGUAGCCGGCCUGAGAGGGUGACCGGCCACAUUGGGACUGAGAUGAGGCCCAGACUCCUACGGGAGGCAGCAGUGGGGAAUAUUGCACAAUGGGCGGAAGCCUGAUGCAGCAACGCCGCGUGCGGGAUGACGGCCUUCGGGUUGUAAACCGCUUUCGCCUGUGACGAAGCGUGAGUGACGGUAAUGGGUAAAGAAGCACCGGCUAACUACGUG